rnacentral:tRNA from 1 species
CUUAGGGUACAGCUCAGUGCUAGAGUGCUUACCUAACAAGGGUGAAGCCCUGGGUUCAAUCCCAGCACCAAGA